rnacentral:rRNA from 1 species
UACGUAGGGUGCGAGCGUUAAUCGGAAUUACUGGGCGUAAAGCGUGCGCAGGCGGUUUUGUAAGCCAGAUGUGAAAUCCCCGGGCUUAACCUGGGAAUGGCAUUUGGGACUGCAAGGCUCGAGUGCGGCAGAGGAGACUGGAAUUCCGCGUGUAGCAGUGAAAUGCGUAGAUAUGCGGAGGAACACCGAUGGCGAAGGCAAUCCCCUGGGCCUGCACUGACGCUCAUGCACGAAAGCGUGGGGAGCAAACAGG